UGGGAAAGUGUUAGAUAUUCUUAGAAUUUCUUUCAUCGUCUAGCAAUUUUCAGACAUGAUGUCUGAAAAAGGCUUAACGGAGCCAUGGAUGGCGACUUUAAGCCGGUUGCGUGGCUUUAUCAAAACCGUAAUAGAAAUUCUUAGAAUAUCUUACACUUGUA
rnacentral:ncRNA from 1 species